AAUAUUGGAAAAUGGUCGCAAGCCUGACCCAGCCAUGCCUCGAGAGGGAUGAAGGCCCUAGGUUUGUAAAUCUCUUCCAACGGUGAAGUUAAUGACGGUAACCGUACAAGCAACUCCGGCUAACUUCGUUCCAGCAGCCGCGGUAAUACGAAGGGGGCUAGCGUUGUUCGGAAUUACUGGGCGUAAAGCGCACGUAGGCGCAUCGGUCAGUUAGGGGUGAAAUCCCAGGGCUCAACCCUGGAACUGCCUCUAAUACUGUCGAUCUCGAGUUCGAGAGAGGUGAGUGGAAUUCCGAGUGUAGAGGUGAAAUUCGUAGAUAUUCGGAGGAACACCAGUGGCGAAGGCGGCUCACUGGCUCGAUACUGACGCUGAGGUGCGAAAGCGUGGGGAGCAAAC
rnacentral:rRNA from 1 species